CAGCCUGGAUUCAGUUCUCAUCCUGGACAUAAGAGACUCCAGAAACUCCAUUCAGAAGAACUCAGUGUCCAGUCUGUCCUCUGAGACAAGCAAGAGGCCAGGCCACUGGACACAAGCUGCACCCAAGCCGGCUGGAAUCUCAUGGGGGAACAUCGCUUCUCCACUCUUAGUUCAUGGUCAAGACGGCUGUAUGGCCUCACACAGGCCUGUCAGAACACGAUGUUCCUCAGGCCAUGAAAGACAGCAUCUGUAUUUCUGAAGGACAUCGGGUAUACAUCUGGAAUUGCUGAUGCCCAUCCAGACACCGCAGGGGAGCCUGACCAACAGCGGAGCCAUUGCAGAGGAUCGCAGGC